GACGAACGCUGUCGGCGUGCUUAACACAUGCAAGUCGAACGGAAAGGCCCUGCUUUUGUGGGGUGCUCGAGUGGCGAACGGGUGAGUAACACGUGAGUAACCUGCCCUUGACUUUGGGAUAACUUCAGGAAACUGGGGCUAAUACCGGAUAGGAGCUCCUGCUGCAUGGUGGGGGUUGGAAAGUUUCGGCGGUUGGGGAUGGACUCGCGGCUUAUCAGCUUGUUGGUGGGGUAGUGGCUUACCAAGGCUUUGACGGGUAGCCGGCCUGAGAGGGUGACCGGCCACAUUGGGACUGAGAUACGGCCCAGACUCCUACGGGAGGCAGCAGUGGGGAAUAUUGCACAAUGGGCGGAAGCCUGAUGCAGCAACGCCGCGUGCGGGAUGACGGCCUUCGGGUUGUAACCCGCUUUCGCCUGUGACGAAGCGUGAGUGACGGUAAUGGGUAAAGAAGCACCGGCUAACUACGUGCCAGCAGCCGCGGUGAUACGUAGGGUGCGAGCGUUGUCCGGAUUUAUUGGGCGUAAAGGGCUCGUAGGUGGUUGAUCGCGUCGGAAGUGUAAUCUUGGGGCUUAACCCUGAGCGUGCUUUCGAUACGGGUUGACUUGAGGAAGGUAGGGGAGAAUGGAAUUCCUGGUGGAGCGGUGGAAUGCGCAGAUAUCAGGAGGAACACCAGUGGCGAAGGCGGUUCUCUGGGCCUUUCCUGACGCUGAGGAGCGAAAGCGUGGGGAGCGAACAGGCUUAGAUACCCUGGUAGUCCACGCUGUAAACGGUGGGUACUAGGUGUGGGGUCCAUUCCACGGGUUCCGUGCCGUAGCUAACGCUUUAAGUACCCCGCCUGGGGAGUACGGCCGCAAGGCUAAAACUCAAAGGAAUUGACGGGGCCCCGCACAAGCGGCGGAGCAUGCGGAUUAAUUCGAUGCAACGCGUAGAACCUUACCUGGGUUUGACAUGGAUCGGGAGUGCUCAGAGAUGGGUGUGCCUCUUUUGGGGUCGGUUCACAGGUGGUGCAUGGCUGUCGUCAGCUCGUGUCGUGAGAUGUUGGGUUAAGUCCCGCAACGAGCGCAACCCUUGUUCACUGUUGCCAGCACGUUAUGGUGGGGACUCAGUGGAGACCGCCGGGGUCAACUCGGAGGAAGGUGGGGAUGACGUCAAGUCAUCAUGCCCCUUAUGUCCAGGGCUUCACGCAUGCUACAAUGGCUGGUACAGAGAGUGGCGAGCCUGUGAGGGUGAGCGAAUCUCGGAAAGCCGGUCUCAGUUCGGAUUGGGGUCUGCAACUCGACCUCAUGAAGUCGGAGUCGCUAGUAAUCGCAGAUCAGCAACGCUGCGGUGAAUACGUUCCCGGG
rnacentral:rRNA from 1 species